UCGUACGAUGGGGGUACGACGGCUGUCGCUGACUUGCAUAAAAGGUCGUGCACGCCCGAGUGCUCUCACAUACAAAUAUCCAUCUCACCCCUUUGUGCAUCACCGCGUGGGUCCCCCCUUCCUUGGAGGGGGGUGCUCACGUUUUUAACAUUAAACACCCAUUCGAACGUAUCGUAGAAUGUUCUUUGCGCGAUGACGCGCGAUCAAUA
rnacentral:misc_RNA from 1 species